rnacentral:misc_RNA from 1 species
UUACUUUCUUCACUUAUCGAUAUCGUCAAUUGAAGACCUCCUACGAUUCCAAUUUUUCUCGAAGUAAGUCCGUGCUCUGUUUACAUUGUAAAAAAUACUCAGCUGAAUAACUUUUGAUCUUUAACCUCCAGAAUUUUGCAGAUGGAACCAAGGGUAGAUAGUGGCCUCCGAGCUGUUUCUUUACUUAAUUCUGUGCCUUUGUUGAAUUACAUUAUCAUAGUGCAAGUUGGUCAUACAAUUUUGAUGCAAAAGUGAACCUGUAAACAUGAUAAAAUGUGGACGUCUCUGGAGAAACCUCAGUGUGUGGGGCCCAUUAGAUACAGACGAUACCUGAUACCCAAAUGCAACGAACCUUUCAGACUUGGGAUACAUCAUUUAUGGAAACAGGAGUUCCUGUUACAUAUACAGCACUUGACACUGCUUGUGAGAAAACAUUAUUAACCAGCACUGAUAGUCAACUUGGUCCCUAGCAUCCACUAGUGGGCGCCUCCACCUCCAUAGCAGCCAGUAGACAGUUGGACCCUAAAAUAUUUAUAUUAGGGUUUCACAAAACUUUGAAAAAAAUAUUUGGUCAUACAAUUUUGAUGCGAAAUGGAACCUGAAAACCUGCUAAAAUGUGGAUACCAGUGGAUAAAGCUCAAUGUGUGUGGCCUGGUAUAUACAGAUGAUAUCAGAUACCGAAGUGCAAUGAUCCUUUCGGACUUGGAAUACAUCAUUUAUGGAAACAGUGCUCACAAGACAUUUACAGUGGGGUGUGCAGUUGAGAACAGUUCUCCAUCUACCCCUCAGCGCGCACCAGAAUUAUUCAAAGUGGGGCACUCUGCCAAUUCUAAGAAGCAGGCCAAAGAUGUCCUGGUAAGCAGCACAUUGUCAAUGCUGCGAGACAAACAAACAGCAAUGAAUGGGAGCAAUGAGGAUGACAAGUUGGGCGAAUAUGUUGCAGCUGAGCUGAUAACAACUAAAAAUAGAAAAUUAAAUGCAGAGGCAAAGUGAAUGUUAUCAUGAAUGCCAUCAU